rfam:Roseburia sp. CAG:45 genomic scaffold, scf26
UGAACGAGACGGUUAGGGCGGCUUGCAUUCUUUGGAGCAACCGGCAACGCUGACACAGGGAUGUGUCAGCGAGGCACAAUUGGAGCAUGGAUGCGACUUUGCGCCGGUUGCCGGAACAGCCAUUUUUUUAAAAGAAUGCCUAGCCGCCCUUACUGGUGAGUGUC